rnacentral:rRNA from 1 species
ACGGAGAGUUUGAUCCUGGCUCAGGAUGAACGCUGGCGGUAUGCUUAACACAUGCAAGUCGAACGAUGCACAGACGUAGCAAUGCUACGUCUGUGCAUAGUGGCGGACGGGUGAGUAACGCGUGAGAAUCUAGCUUCAGGUUCGGGACAACAUUGGGAAACCGAUGCUAAUACCGGAUGUGCCGAGAGGUGAAAGGCUAGCCGCCUGAAGAAGAGCUCGCGUCUGAUUAGCUAGUUGGUGGUGUAAGGGACUACCAAGGCGACGAUCAGUAGCUGGUCUGAGAGGAUGAUCAGCCACACUGGAACUGAGACACGGUCCAGACUCCUACGGGAGGCAGCAGUGGGGAAUUUUCCGCAAUGGGCGAAAGCCUGACGGAGCAAUACCGCGUGAGGGAGGAAGGCUCUUGGGUUGUAAACCUCUUUUCUCAAGGAAGAAGUUCUGACGGUACUUGAGGAAUCAGCAUCGGCUAACUCCGUGCCAGCAGCCGCGGUAAUACGGAGGAUGCAAGCGUUAUCCGGAAUGAUUGGGCGUAAAGCGUCCGCAGGUGGUUGUGUGUGUCUAUUGUCAAAGCAUCAUGCUUAACAUGAUAAAGGCAGUAGAAACUACACGACUAGAGUGCGUUCGGGGCAGAGGGAAUUCCUGGUGUAGCGGUGAAAUGCGUAGAGAUCAGGAAGAACACCGGUGGCGAAAGCGCUCUGCUAGGCCGCAACUGACACUGAGGGACGAAAGCUAGGGGAGCGAAUGGGAUUAGAUACCCCAGUAGUCCUAGCCGUAAACGAUGGAUACUAGGCGUUGAGAGUAUCGACCCUCUCAGUGCCGUAGCUAACGCGUUAAGUAUCCCGCCUGGGGAGUACGCACGCAAGUGUGAAACUCAAAGGAAUUGACGGGGGCCCGCACAAGCGGUG